rnacentral:rRNA from 1 species
UCCGUAGGUGAACCUGCGGAAGGAUCAUUAAUGAAUGUUUGAAUCACCUUGACUUCAGUCAUUGUGUAGGGUGAGAAUUGCUCAGGUAGUUCUCAUCCGUACUUCAUAUCCAUAACACCUGUGCACUGUUGGAUGCUUGCAUCCACUUUAUACUAAACAUUAUUGUAACAAAUGUAGUCUUAUUAUAACAUAAUAAAACUUUCAACAACGGAUCUCUUGGCUCUCGCAUCGAUGAAGAACGCAGCGAAAUGCGAUAAGUAAUGUGAAUUGCAGAAUUCAGUGAAUCAUCGAAUCUUUGAACGCACCUUGCGCUCCUUGGUAUUCCGAGGAGCAUGCCUGUUUGAGUGUCAUGAAACUCUCAAACCCAAGUUUUGGAUUUCGGUCCAGGCUUGAGUUUGGAUUUGGAUGUUUGCCGGUGAUGAACCGACUCAUCUUAAAAAGAAUUAGCUGGAUCUGUCUCUAUGACUGGUUUGACUUGGCAUAAUAAGUAUUUUGCUAAGGCAUCUUCGGAUGGCCAGGACCUAGACUAUUGUCUGCUAACUAAACCAUCGGCUUUGGAGUGGGCAUCUUUUGGGGGGUGGUCACUCCACUGGUGGUAACUUUGGACAUCUGGGCCUCAAAUCAGGGGGUAGGGGACUACCC